rnacentral:rRNA from 1 species
GAUGAACGCUGGCGACGUGCUUAACACAUGCAAGUCGAACGAGAAAAGGAAGCUUGCUUCCGAUUCUAGUGGCGGACGGGUGAGUAACGCGUGGGUAACCUGCCCUGUAGAGGGGGAUCACAUUCCGAAAGGGAUGCUAAUACCGCAUAGCUAAGGAAUUCGCAUGAAUUCCUUACUAAAGAUUUAUCGCUACAAGAUGGACCCGCGUCCUAUUAGCUAGUUGGUGAGGUAAAAGCUUACCAAGGCGACGAUAGGUAGCCGGAGUGAGAGGUCGAACGGCCACAAUGGAACUGGGACACCGUCCAUACUCCUACGGGAGGCAGCAGUGGGGAAUAUUGCACAAUGGGCGCAAGCCUGAUGCAGCGACGUCGCGUGAGGGAAGAAGUUUUGCGGAAUGUAAACCUCUGUCCCAUGUGAAGAAUAAUGACGGUAGCAUAGGAGGAAGCCAUGGCUAACUACGUGCCAGCGGCCGCGGUAAUAC